CUGUCUGGUUUGUUUGUAGCUCUCGACUCUCGAGAGUCCUGACAGAGAGCAUCACAGAAAGGCAAUGGCGAGCACAACACAUAUCAUAGGCAACCUCUCCUCCUGGCUUCAUCCCAUUCAACCCAAUAACUCGAGGCGAUGUUUCUUCAAACCCUGCACUUUCCCAAUCUUUAAACUCAAAGCCACCAACUUCGCGGGAACAGUUCGCGCUUUUUCCACAGCUUUUAUUGAUACCAAGCCUGCGGAUGAAAUUGUUGUUGAGAAGGGGGUCAGCACCAAUAAGAACGUCUUAGCUUGUCCUAUAUGCUAUGAACCGUUGACUUUGAUUGGUGAUUCCAGCUUAUCCAUAGAUUCUACAUCAACAUCUAAGUUGCAGUGUAAGACUUGUAAAAAGACUUACAUUGGGAAUAAAACGCAUGUUGAUCUCAGAGCAGCUAGUGGGUUGAAGGAAUAUGCUGAUCCAAUGCCACCGGCCACAGAACUUUUUAGACUUCCGCUGGUAUCAUUUCUAUAUGAAAGGGGUUGGCGUCAAAAUUUUGCAUUGGGUGGUUUUCCGGGCAAAGAGAAAGAGUUUGAAUUGGCUAAGGGCUACCUAAAGCCGGUUUUAGGUGGAAAUAUCAUUGAUGCAAGUUGUGGUAGUGGCUUAUUUUCAAGACUUUUUGCUAAGAGUGGGUUGUUCUCUAUGGUUGUUGCUUUGGACUACUCCGAGAACAUGCUGCAGCAAUGCUACGAGUUUGUUGAAAAGGAGGAAAACUUUCCAAAAGAGAAGUUGACGUUGGUGAGAGCUGAUAUAUCUAGACUCCCCUUUGUUUCAAGUUCCAUUGAUGCUGUGCACGCUGGUGCUGCUAUACAUUGUUGGCCUUCACCUUCCUCAGCAGUAGCUGAAAUAAGUAGAGUUCUGAGGCCUGGAGGAGUGUUGGUUGCUACCACCUUCAUACUUGAUGGGCCAUUUACUUUUAUUCCCUUCUUUGGGAUUAUAAGCCAGAAAUUAACUCAGAUAUCAGGCAAUCGCUUCUUUCAAUCGGAGCGUGAAUUUGAAGAGCUCUGCGGAGCCUGUGGAUUAGUUGGUUUUCAAUGCAUAAGAAAUCAGCGCUUUGUAAUGUUCUCUGCCAGAAAACCCAGCUAAAUAUCAAGUACCUUGUUGCUCCAUAUGUAAUCAUCUGUAAACACAGAGAAUAGUUCCUUCAAAGCCUCGAUACAUUUUACACAUAUAAUUGGAAAUACAAAAGAAAGCAAAUUUUCUCAGUCAUUCAAAUUUUGUACAAGAAAGGUUUCUGUACACUGUAUUACACAGUAAUGUGUUUAUAAUAAAGUUACUUUUCCAAGGAGAUCCUCUGAAUUCCCACAUGUUCAAAUGCCAAAUAAGAGUAUGAGCAAAGCCGGUCUAGCGUAGAGCAGCCAUGCAGUGAGAAAUCCAGAUCUACAUAGUCAGGGUUGAAUCCAUCAAAGUGGAAAAUGUUGACCAUAUCAGAAACAAAAA